UACAUGUGGGACAAGCGUUGUCCGGAUUUACUGGGCGUAAAGAGCGCGCAGGCGGUCGUUCAAGUCGAGUGUGAAAGCCCCCGGCUCAACUGGGGAGGGUCACUCGAUACUGAUCGACUCGAAGGCAGGAGAGGGAAGUGGAAUUCCCGGUGUAGUGGUGAAAUGCGUAGAUAUCGGGAGGAACACCAGUGGCGAAGGCGACUUCCUGGCCUGUUCUUGACGCUGAGGCGCGAAAGCUAGGGGAGCAAACGGG
rnacentral:rRNA from 1 species